rnacentral:rRNA from 1 species
UUUGACACAAUAAGGGAUGAGGUGUAGAGGAGUCGCACGUUUGACUGGCUGUCGGUCUAGUUAUUAUUGAGUGAGUGCCCAAAGAAGGUGGAAAGCCUGUAUGACCGUACACAUGCCGGCCAAACAGUGGCUCUUGAGAGUCUAGUUGUUUGAGAGUACAACUUAAAGUUGGUGGUAAAUUCCAUCAAAGGUUAAAUAUCUGAAGGGACUAAUAGUGAACAAGUACCGUGAGGGAAAGUUGAAAAGGACUCUGAAGAGGGAGUUAAAGAGUACGUGAAACCACAUUGAGUAAAACAGAUAACCGUGUCGUUGGGGCGCGUUCUAUCAAUAGCGAUGUCGGUCGUGAGCGUGCCCGCACAACCAACGCUAGCUUGCUGAUUCGUCAGCGGCGGCCGACCGUUUGUGGCUAGCAUCACGGCUCGCAUUUCUGUGCACUAGUGCGCGUCCACUAAUUGAGAAGCUACGGGGCUGCCGGCCUGGCGUGCAGCGGUUCGUACCUUGUGUGCGUAGCUGUGCGCUUGCUUGGCUAGCCUGGCCGUGGCUUGGCCUUUAGUCGGGGCCGCGGGCUGGUUCUGUCGUGCUGCGGCCGGUGUUGCUCGUACGCUGUGGCGUUAAUUCGCCUUCGGUGAGCGUGCGCCGGCUGCCACGAGCGGCCCGUCAUCAAUGUGUGACAUGAGUUAUUUGACCCGUCUUGWAACACGGACCAAGGAGUUCAAAUGGCACGCGAGUCAUUGAGUGUGUUGAAGCUCAAAGGCGAAGUGAAAUGCAAAACAUGUUGCUAAUUGUGGUCUAUAGCCGGCUGCAACGAAGCGACAGGCCACUAGUGCUAUUUGGCAUUUGUGGACUGUAAGCGUGACGUUUGAGACCCGAAAGAUGGUGACCUAUGCCUAGUCAAGAUGAAGCCAGAGGAAACUCUGGUGGAGGUCUGAAGUUGUUCUGACGUGCAAAUCGAUAAUCUGAUCUGGGUAUAGGGGCGAAAGACUAAUCGAACCAUCUAGUAGCUGGUUCCUUCCGAAGUUUCCCUCAGGAUAGCAAGCGUACGAACUUAGUUUCAUCCCGUAAAGCGAAUGAUUAGAGGUAUUGGGGUGUAUACAGCUUCAACCUAUUCUCAAACUUUUAAUGGGUGUGAGCGUUCUUUCUUUAUUGAAGAAUGCUACUACUAAAUAAGUAUGCUUAGUGGGCCAUUUUUGGUAAGCAGAACUGGCGCUGUGGGUUGAACCAAUUGUCGAGUUAAAGUGCCUAAAGCAGAAAUGCUCAUGAGAUCUGUAAAGGGUGUUAGUUGCUGAAGACAGCAGG